rnacentral:snoRNA from 1 species
GAGAUCGUACUUCUAGGGAUCAGUCCUAUAGUUCGUAUCACCAGGGCGUCAAACAAACCUGACCCUGGCCAACCAAUCACUACAAGAGAUUGU